rnacentral:rRNA from 1 species
AGCAGUGAGGAAUAUUGGUCAAUAGCCUAACGGCUGAAACAGCACUUGGAGGAUGUAUAGCAAUAGCUGAUUGCACCAACAAAUAGUUGAUGCAAAAUUGACUCUGUCAAAUAAAAUUCUAGGUAGAUUUAUGAUAAUGACAUUGUCUGCCUAUAUGUCUUGACCAAAUUACGUGCCAGCAGUCGCGGUAAUACGUAGAAGACUAGUGUUAUUCAUCUUUAAUUGGUUUAAAGGGUACCUAGACGGUAAAUCAAGCCUUCGCAGGGACUAAUUUGCUAGAGUUACUUAUGAGGGGGUAUUAAAGUACUGCAGGUGUAGAGAUGAAAUUCUGUCAUACCUCUUUUCGAAAGAAAAAUAAUGGCACAGGUAUAGGUGAAAACAUCCCCUUAUGUGAUAACUGACGUUGAAGGACGAAGGC